rnacentral:rRNA from 1 species
UACAGAGGUCCCGAGCGUCGUUCGGAUUCAUUGGGCGUAAAGGGUGCGUAGGCGGUCUUCUAAGUUUGAUGUGAAAUCCCGGGGCUUAACCCUGGAAUUGCAUUGAAUACUGGAGGACUUGAGUACCGGAGAGGAAACUGGAAUUUACGGUGUAGCAGUGAAAUGCGUAGAGAUCGUAAGGAAGACCAGUGGCGAAGGCGAGUUUCUGGACGGUAACUGACGCUGAGGCACGAAGGCCAGGGGAGCAAACGGG